rnacentral:rRNA from 1 species
UACGUACGAGGCGAGCGUUAUCCGGAAUUACUGGGCGUAAAGCGCGCGCAGGCGGACCAUUAAGUUGGGCGUGAAAUCUCCCGGCCUAACUGGGAGGGGUCGCCCAAGACUGGUGGUCUUGAGGACAGCAGAGGUGGGUGGAAUUCCUGGUGUAGUGGUGAAAUGCGUAGAGACCCGGAGGAACACCGGUGGCGAAGGCGGCUUCCUGGCCUACUACUGACGCUGUGGCGCGAAAGCUGGGGGAGCGAACGGG